GUAAUACAUCGGAACAUGUCCUGUAGUGGGGGAUAGCCCGGCGAAAGCCGGAUUAAUACCGCAUACGAUCUACGGAUGAAAGCGGGGGACCUUCGGGCCUCGCGCUAUAGGGUUGGCCGAUGGCUGAUUAGCUAGUUGGUGGGGUAAAGGCCUACCAAGGCGACGAUCAGUAGCUGGUCUGAGAGGACGACCAGCCACACUGGGACUGAGACACGGCCCAGACUCCUACGGGAGGCAGCAGUGGGGAAUUUUGGACAAUGGGCGAAAGCCUGAUCCAGCAAUGCCGCGUGUGUGAAGAAGGCCUUCGGGUUGUAAAGCACUUUUGUCCGGAAAGAAAUCCUUGGCUCUAAUACAGUCGGGGGAUGACGGUACCGGAAGAAUAAGCACCGGCUAACUACGUGCCAGCAGCCGCGGUAAUACGUAGGGUGCAAGCGUUAAUCGGAAUUACUGGGCGUAAAGCGUGCGCAGGCGGUUUGCUAAGACCGAUGUGAAAUCCCCGGGCUCAACCUGGGAACUGCAUUGGUGACUGGCAGGCUAG
rnacentral:rRNA from 1 species